CCUACGUGUGGCUGCAGUGGGGAAUAUUGGACAAUGGGCGAAAGCCUGAUCCAGCCAUGCCGCGUGUGUGAAGAAGGCCUUCGGGUUGUAAAGCACUUUCAGUGGGGAAGAAAGCCUUGGGGCUAAUACCCUCGAGGAAGGACAUCACCCACAGAAGAAGCACCGGCUAACUCCGUGCCAGCAGCCGCGGUAAUACGGAGGGUGCGAGCGUUAAUCGGAAUUACUGGGCGUAAAGCGCGCGUAGGCGGUCUGAUAAGCCGGUUGUGAAAGCCCCGGGCGCAACCUGGGAACGGCAUCCGGAACUGUCAGGCUAGAGUGCAGGAGAGGAAGGUAGAAUUCCCGGUGUAGCGGUGAAAUGCGUAGAGAUCGGGAGGAAUACCAGUGGCGAAGGCGGCCUUCUGGACUGACACUGACGCUGAGGUGCGAAAGCGUGGGUAGCAAACAGGAUUAGAUACCCCGGUAGUC
rnacentral:rRNA from 1 species